rnacentral:lncRNA from 1 species
UGCCGUCGAGGGUGUAGGUGAGGCGGGUCAUGAGCUUGGUCUUGACAAACUCGGACUCGCCAGCCUUGAAGGCGGACUCCUCCUUGACGGUGAAGGAGGUGGGCUCCAUGCAGAACUUCUCGAGGGCGUAGUCGCCGCCCUUGAUGGACGAGCCGGAGCCGCCCGUCUCAACCACGGGGCAGGUGUUGGCGAGGCCGGUGCCCUUGACCUGGAGGUAGGUGAGGCCCUGGAGCUCGUCGUAGGUCACGGCCUGGGCGGACUGCGGGAGGAAGAAGAGGGGGUUGAGGGGGGGAUGCGAGGUUAGUUAUAAAGGGUCGUCUCGCGGCGGGCGUUGUUGGUUUUGGGAAAUUCGUGCCCACGGGUCGCGCCAGGCGUGGGACGCGUGUCGUCAAAAAAAAGCCGAGAGCCGGGGUGCUGGCGGGGCCCGAAUCGGCGGACGCGACGCGCGAACGGCGGCCGUGCCGCGCGCGGAGACGCGCGUUGGUUCGAUCGCGGUCGCCCGACGCCGGCUCCGGUGUUUGGCGCGCCCGCCGCGCCCCGGCGGGCGUGGAUACGGUUGCACGCAUCGCGGGAAUGAUUAUAUCGCUGGGAAAUAACGUACCCCGGCAGCGAGAGUGAGCGCGGCGAGGCCGGAGAGGGCGGCCUUGCCGGCCUUCUCAACCUUCUCGACGAAAGCGGGCUUGGCGGCGGAGCACUUGACCGCGGUGCUGUUGCGAACGGGGUGAACGGGGUUGGAAUCGUCAGUCGCGCGUCUCGCGCGGAGGGAUAGGGCGGGCGGUUGCUGAGACCCAAUCGGGAGAACCCGCUGGCACUGACGAAGAUCGGUGCGCUGCCGGAGCGGUCGUCGCGACGCGUCCGCGCGGCCGAAAACCUCCCGGCGAACCCGUCGAACCUCGCGAGGAAGACGUCGCGGUAGUCGGUGACCGCGCGCGCGCGCGAACACGCGCUCGCGCGGUCGCGCAGCGCGCCGGACACGCUCCCUAUCUACCCCGGGGAUGCACCGGGUGGCGAAAUCUUACUCGCUAGAUUUCUCCACCCUAAAGAAAGCGGGACGGGGUUUGGUCGCCGGAAAACGC